UCUCUGAUAGUAUAUCGGUUAGUACACGCGCCUGUCAUGAAGGAAGUCAGUACCUGUCCAGCAUUACGCGCGAAAGCUGGGUUCGACUCCCAGUCAGAGAG